GAUGAACGCUAGCGGCAGGCUUAACACAUGCAAGUCGAGGGGUAUUGGUUUUCGGACCAAGAGACCGGCGCACGGGUGCGUAACGCGUAUGCAAUCUACCUUUUGCAGAGGGAUAGCCCCAGAGAAAUUUGGAUUAAUACCUCAUAGUAUAGUACUUUGGCAUCAAGGAACUAUUAAAGUCACAACGGCAAAAGAUGAGCAUGCGUCCAUUAGCUAGUUGGUAAGGUAACGGCUUACCAAGGCUACGAUGGGUAGGGGUCCUGAGAGGGAGAUCCCCCACACUGGUACUGAGACACGGACCAGACUCCUACGGGAGGCAGCAGUGAGGAAUAUUGGACAAUGGGCGCAAGCCUGAUCCAGCCAUGCCGCGUGCAGGAUGACGGUCCUAUGGAUUGUAAACUGCUUUAUACAGGAAGAAACACUCCGACGUGUCGGAGCUUGACGGUACUGUAAGAAUAAGGAUCGGCUAACUCCGUGCCAGCAGCCGCGGUAA
rnacentral:rRNA from 1 species